UACGGAGGGUGCGAGCGUUGUCCGGAAUCACUGGGCGUAAAGAGCGUGUAGGCGGUCCGGUAAGUCGGUUGUGAAAGUCCAGGGCUCAACCCUGGGAUGCCGACCGAUACUGUCGGACUAGAGUUCGGAAGAGGCGAGUGGAAUUCCCGGUGUAGCGGUGAAAUGCGCAGAUAUCGGGAGGAACACCUAUGGCGAAGGCAGCUCGCUGGGACGUUACUGACGCUGAGACGCGAAAGCGUGGGGAGCAAACAGG
rnacentral:rRNA from 1 species